CACUCCUACGGGAGGCAGCAGUGGGGAAUUUUGGACAAUGGGCGAAAGCCUGAUCCAGCAAUGCCGCGUGAGUGAAGAAGGCCUUCGGGUUGUAAAGCUCUUUUGUCAGGGAAGAAACGGUGAGAGCUAAUAUCUCUUGCUAAUGACGGUACCUGAAGAAUAAGCACCGGCUAACUACGUGCCAGCAGCCGCGGUAAUACGUAGGGUGCAAGCGUUAAUCGGAAUUACUGGGCGUAAAGCGUGCGCAGGCGGUUUUGUAAGUCUGAUGUGAAAUCCCCGGGCUCAACCUGGGAAUUGCAUUGGAGACUGCAAGGCUAGAAUCUGGCAGAGGGGGGUAGAAUUCCACGUGUAGCAGUGAAAUGCGUAGAUAUGUGGAGGAACACCGAUGGCGAAGGCAGCCCCCUGGGUCAAGAUUGACGCUCAUGCACGAAAGCGUGGGGAGCAAACAGGAUUAGAUACCCCUGUAGUCCCAUGAU
rnacentral:rRNA from 1 species